UGCCGGUUCGCGGUCUCCACUCCAGAAC
rnacentral:sRNA from 1 species